rnacentral:rRNA from 1 species
AUUGAACGCUGGCGGCAGGCCUAACACAUGCAAGUCGAACGAGUGGCGGACGGGUGAGUAAUGUCUGGGAAACUGCCUGAUGGAGGGGGAUAACUACUGGAAACGGUAGCUAAUACCGCAUACCCUCAGAUGUGCCCAGAUGGGAUUAGCUAGUUGGUGGGGUAACGGCUCACCUAGGCGACGAUCCCUAGCUGGUCUGAGAGGAUGACCAGCCACACUGUAACUGAGACACGUUCCAGACUCCUACGGUAGGCAGCAGUGGGGAAUAGUGGACAAUGGGCGCAAGCCAUAUGCAGCCAUGCCGCGUGUAUGAAGAAGGCCGUCGGGUUGUAAAGUACUUUCAGCGGGGAGGCGUUACCCGCAGAAGAAGCACCGGCUAACUCCGUGCCAGCAGCCGCGGUAAUAC